GAUAUUGGGGAGAUGCAGAAGGGAGGAGGUGGUGUUGAGUCAAAUGAGGAUAGGACACACGGGGCUAAAUGAUUCGUUGCAUAGGAUAGGAAAACACAAAGAUGGGAAAUGUAAACACUGUGGGGAGCGUGAAACGGUUGAACACAUUCUAAUGGUAUGCGGGAAGUAUGGAGAGCAGAGGGAUCGGUUCAGAAUGGUGCUGCACCAGGCAGAAGAGACAUUUGGGAUGGGAAAUGUUCUGCAGAUGAAAAGGGCCAAUAUUCAAAAAGGGCUAAUAAAGUUUCUCAGGGACACAGGGUUGUUGGACAGGAUAUAGGAAGAGGGUAAUUCAUUAGUAUUUAAUUCGGUUGUUAGUAUGUCAUUUAUCCAAUUUUUUGGCUCGGGUUUUAGCUACACUCUGGGUGUGUUUCACUGGUUGUCAGGAGGGAUUACUUUUAGUCUGUAACUGCCAGAUCUCGUGCUAAACCGUCGGUCCAGUAGGUGGCGGUAAUGCCCCACGGCACCGAGGGGUAAACUGCUAAUAAACAAAAAGAAGAAGAAGAUCCUUUGCUAGGCGUCCAUUCUGCUAGCAUUCCCGCCUGGAAGAGAAGAUAUGGAACUCAGAUGAGUUGACCAAGAGGCUUCGAAUGGUUGCAGCGGUGAGAAAAAAGGCCAUCACUUUUCAUUCAUCAACUGAAAACAUGUCGGUCUGUUCCCUACAUUUCCAUAAAGAAAAACCAGCAUAUGAAAUAAAUGACGCAGACCCUGACUGGGCACCAUCCUUACGCCUGGGACACACAUGUGUUCAGCCCACCAACGUGGACCGCUCUUCUAGACGAAGUAGGUGUGAGAAAUUGAGGAUGGAGGAAGACGUUGGUGAGCUACAGGAAGAGCCUUCAGCGCCCUUUAGAUGCUCCUUCUGACCUUCAUGCGCCUGCGUUUGGACCUGCCUGCACUACACAUUGCACACAUAUUCCAUGUUUCCCGUAAGACUGUGUAUUGAGUGUUCAAUAACAUGGUGCCCUUUUUACAUGCUAACUUGAGACGAGCAAUUGUUUGGACCAACAGGGAAAGACUCUAUAAAACAAUGCCUCACGAGUUUGUUGAGUCCUUCAGACGCAGAGUUGCAGUGAUUAUUGAGUUUUUUUGAAAUUUUUACAGAGAAACCAUCAAAUCUUAAGGCGCGUGCGCAAAUGUUUUCUAGUUACAAGCAUAACUACACCAUGAAAUACCUAAUUGGAAUCACACCAAAGGGGGGAAUUUGUUUGAUGUCAAGAGGUUGGGGUGGUCACACAAGUGACAAACAUACCACCUUGAACAGUGCUUUUUUUAAUAUCCUUUUGCCCGGGGACAUUGUCUUGACUGACAGAGGCUUUGAUAUUCAAGAACAUGUGGGUAUGUUAUGUGCAGAGGUCAAACUCCCUGCAUUCACAAAAGGUCGCUGUCAGUUAGCUGGUAGAGAUGUGGAGGAGACUAGGAAGAUAGCACAUUUGAGGAUCCAUGUUGAACGGGUAAUUGGUAAUCUUUGCCAGAAGUAUAAGAUCCAACAGGAACUGCACCUAUUAACUUGGUUCUGCCAUGUGACAGCGAAGAUUGCACAUUGUUGGAUAAGAUUGUUUAUGUAUGCGGUGUCCUUUCAAACCUUUGCCUAACUGUUGUGUAGUUUGUACUGUUAUACCAUUAACUAUGCUAACCGUUUCAGCCUUUCAAACUUAGCUGUUAUUGAUAUUUUGUAUUUUGUUGU